AGGUAGCUGCACCAGUAUGAGCUCUGACAACAACUACUAGAAAGCCUUAGAAAUCCUGGCCUUCAGUGGGACAAACGAGGCAUCCUAAACGUGAAUCAGGAGGGAGAAGGCGUUCUGAACAUUUAAACUGUGGGGAGGAAUGUCAAAGGUCUCAGCAAGCCACAAAUACCAAUUUAACUCAUCUUCCACAUGGGGCCAAACGGUGGCACAGCAGAUUAAGUGCUUAUAGUCUGAAGCUCAAGGAUCCCACUUUGAGCUCCCGACUCCCCACCUGCAUGGGUUCUCUUCACAAGCAGUGAAGCAGGUCUGCAGGUGUUUAUCUUUCCCUUUCCCUCUUUAUCUUCCCUAGCCCUCUCAAUUUCUCUCUGCCCUAUCCAACAAUGACAAAAAAAAAAAAAAAAAUCAGAAGCAGUGGAUUCCUAGUGCAGG